CCUGAGAGAGCCCUUUAUUUCCCACAAUCAUCCUGAGUUCCUCCUCGUUCACAUCCCUGCACAGACCACGUAAUUCCUCUGCAAGCAACAGGAGGAACAGAAGGAGGAAGAAUAUUCACCUCUCUCUGCUCUGAGGUUCUGGAUCGCUGGAGGCUUCAAUUGCUGCAGAAUUUCUAUGUGGAGGUUAAGCAUUCUCACUACAAACAAAACUCCCAGAUCAACACUGAAAAAGUAUUCCCUAGAACAAAGUGAGGAAUCCCAGGGAAGAUGGCAAUAAUCAAAUGCCCACAAACUAGUUGAAUUUCGGAAUUCUCAUGUGCAUCUCAAUGCAAGUGUUUGAAGUACUUCCCAAAUCACUCUUUUUCCUCUCUCCAACACACCUAAUUUCUAAUGGUGUAGAAAAUGUGCUUCCACUGUGAAUCAAACAGGUCUGGACCAAAGUUAGGGCUGCCUGGCCGGGGUGAAAGCGGGUGGCACUCGAGUUUGCUGUUCUUGGAUGUAUUUUCCUGUCAAUCCGUGCGUGCGCUGCACGGGGAGCCGGGCACCAACACGCUGCUGCAGGGCCCGUGUGAUUCCUCCUGUGCCACAUGCGGAGAAGGGAAGGGAAACGUUCAAUAACUGCAGCUCCAUGGAAAGCUCCCGUUGGCUACUCCGCAGGAGCGCAUUCCCAAUCCUCCCGGCGAACUCGGGCUGCAGAAGCCCUGGACCGGGAGAACGAGCACUAGAGGGCACAGCGCGACCAGCGACGGGCUUUGGCGAGGGGGAGGCAGAGCGCGGCUGGCUCUGAGCUGUCUUCACCCGUGAGACUCCGAGUGGCUCCUUAAAAUGGCACCUUUCGGAAGCUGCUGGGAGGCGAGGCCCUGCAGAAGUUGUGGUGCACUGGAAUUAUCGAGAGCGUGUAGGGACUUGGAAGAAGAUUUAAUCCUCCAGCACGCCAAGACUUGGCUCUGCCAGGGAGAAGCCCAAGUUUCUAUCAGGCAUUCCCAAAUUCUCCUGACAAAACGGAAUAAUCCGGGCUGGUCCCUGACCUGCAAGCCCAGAUCCUAGACAGAGAACUGGAAAAGCACACAGAUUCCCAGGAGCAAUCAGCGUGGAUAUCGAUGGGAUUUUGUUCGUCUGAAUUUUGGAAAUCUCCCCAUCCCAGACCUCAGCCCAUGCUCAGCUCCAAGCAGUUCAUCAACACCUGCCCCUAGCCAAGAUACUUCCCAAGGGAUCCUGGUGUGGAACAGACAAUUCCCAGUCCCUGUGUGCUCUGGGGAGAUGGGAUUCAUUGCCCUGCUUCCCAGAUGGAGAAAUUCAGGCAAAAGUAAAUAAAUGUCUGGUUUGAAUUCA